UACGGAGGGGGCGAGCGUUAUUCGGAAUUAUUGGGCGUAAAGGGCGCGUAGGCGGCUGAACAAGUCAAAGGUGAAAUCCCCUCGGCUCAACUGAGGAACUGCCUUUGAAACUGUUCGGCUUGAGGCCGGGAGGGGGGUAGCGGAAUUCCCAGUGUAGCGGUGAAAUGCGUAGAUAUUGGGAGGAACACCAGUGGCGAAGGCGGCUACCUGGACCGGUUCUGACGCUGAGGAGCGAAAGCGUGGGGAGCGAACAGG
rnacentral:rRNA from 1 species